rnacentral:tRNA from 3 species
GGAGAGGUGACCGAGUGGUCGAAGGUGCAUGCCUGGAAAGCAUGUGUAGGGGCAACUCUACCGUGGGUUCGAAUCCCACCCUCUCCGCCA